AUGAACGCUAGCUACAGGCUUAACACAUGCAAGUCGAGGGGCAGCAUGGUCUUAGCUUGCUAAGGCCGAUGGCGACCGGCGCACGGGUGAGUAACGCGUAUCCAACCUGCCUUACACUCUUGGACAGCCUUCUGAAAGGGAGAUUAAUACAAGAUGUUAUCAUGAGUAAGCAUUUUCGCAUGAUUAAAGGUUUACCGGUGUAAGAUGGGGAUGCGUUCCAUUAGAUAGUAGGCGGGGUAACGGCCCACCUAGUCUUCGAUGGAUAGGGGUUCUGAGAGGAAGGUCCCCCACAUUGGAACUGAGACACGGUCCAAACUCCUACGGGAGGCAGCAGUGAGGAAUAUUGGUCAAUGGACGAGAGUCUGAACCAGCCAAGUAGCGUGAAGGAUGAAGGUUCUAUGGAUUGUAAACUUCUUUUAUACGGGAAUAAACGAAUCCACGUGUGGAUUUUUGCAUGUACCGUAUGAAUAAGGAUCGGCUAACUCCGUGCCAGCAGCCGCGGUAAUACGGAGGAUCCGAGCGUUAUCCGGAUUUAUUGGGUUUAAAGGGAGCGUAGAUGGGUUGUUAAGUCAGUUGUGAAAGUUUGCGGCUCAACCGUAAAAUUGCAAUUGAUACUGGCAGUCUUGAGUACAGUUGAGGUAGGCGGAAUUCGUGGUGUAGCGGUGAAAUGCUUAGAUAUCACGAAGAACUCCGAUUGCGAAGGCAGCUUACUAACCUGUAACUGACAUUGAUGCUCGAAAGUGUGGGUAUCAAACAGGAUUAGAUACCCUGGUAGUCCACACGGUAAACGAUGAAUACUCGCUGUAGGCGAUAUACAGUCUGCGGCCAAGCGAAAGCAUUAAGUAUUCCACCUGGGGAGUACGCCGGCAACGGUGAAACUCAAAGGAAUUGACGGGGGCCCGCACAAGCGGAGGAACAUGUGGUUUAAUUCGAUGAUACGCGAGGAACCUUACCCGGGCUUAAAUUGCAACCGAAUAUGGCGGAAACGCUAUAGCUAGCAAUAGCGGUUGUGAAGGUGCUGCAUGGUUGUCGUCAGCUCGUGCCGUGAGGUGUCGGGUUAAGUCCCAUAACGAGCGCAACCCCUACCGUUAGUUGCCAUCAGGUCAAGCUGGGCACUCUGGCGGGACUGCCGGUGUAAGCCGAGAGGAAGGUGGGGAUGACGUCAAAUCAGCACGGCCCUUACGUCCGGGGCUACACACGUGUUACAAUGGGGGGUACAGAGGGCUGCUACCACGCAAGUGGAUGCCAAUCCCAAAAACCUCUCUCAGUUCGGAUUGAAGUCUGCAACCCGACUUCAUGAAGCUGGAUUCGCUAGUAAUCGCGCAUCAGCCACGGCGCGGUGAAUACGUUCCCGGGCCUUGUACACACCGCCCGUCAAGCCAUGGGAGCCGGGGGUACCUGAAGUGCGUAACCGCAAGGAGCGCCCUAGGGUAAAACUGGUGACUGGGGCU
rnacentral:rRNA from 1 species